CACGUAGUUAGCCGUGACUUCCUCGAAGGGUAAUAUCAAUCGGAGACCAUUUCCUCUCUCCGCUCUUUUCCCCUUCAACAGAACUUUACGAUCCGAAGACCUUCCUCGUUCACGCGGCAUUGCUCGUUCAGGCUUGCGCCCAUUGACGAAAAUUCCCUACUGCUGCCUCCCGUAGGAGUCUGGGCCGUGUCUCAGUCCCAGUGUGGCCGUCCGCCUCUCAGGCCGGCUAUGCAUCGUCGCCUUGGUGGCCGUUACCUCACCAACCAGCUAAUGCACCGCAGGUCCAUCCGUGCGCGGAGCCUUGCAGCUCCUUUAACACAGAGUCGAUGCCGUCUCUGUCCCUAUCCCGGUAUCACGCUUCCCGUUUCCGAAAGUUUCCUCCCGGUCGCCGAACGGGCUAGGUUCCCUACGUGUUACCUCACCCGGUUCGCCACUCGAGUCCCGAAGCCCUCGUUCGACUUGCAUGUAUAGGCUAUGCCGCAG
rnacentral:rRNA from 1 species